UCAAGGCACAAACAAAAACAAAGACCAUGGAAGGAUGCUUUUUAUUGUCUUGCUCUCCUUGUUUGCUUGGACCAUUUCUACACAGACAAGGCUCACCUGUCUAGGGAUGAUACUGCUCACAGUAGGCUGGCCCUUCCUCUAUUUAUCAUAAAGCAAGACAAUGCCCCACAAACCAAUCUGAUGGAGUCAUUUCCUCAGUUGAGACUCCUUCCUCCCAGAAAUAGCUCUAAUUUAACUGCCUGGGCAGAAAACUUUUGCUAAUGCUCUGGACCUCCAAGGAAACUGGACGGCCAAAGUGAUUAAGCACCAGGUGCAGAAGGCACCCAUCAGAGCAUCCUGAUUCAGGAGGGAAGACAACAUGUGCCUUUCUUCACUUCCUAAGUUCUACCCAAAGGUAUCUGUUGGAGACCAAACUCUGGGAAAACAGACCUUCAACAGCUCUCACCUUGAGAGUUCACUGACCAUGCAGUUUACAGCUGAACAACCCCCUUCUUCACACAAGGCUGAUCAACUGGUUCUCAUCCUGGCAGAACACCUGGGGUUGUCUAGGUGAAACCAGCAUUCCAGAAAAGCUGCUGGAAGCCACAGCCAGCAUCUGUCCAGGAUGACCUUUCCUCCUUCUGUGCUUUUAGCAUCCCCCUCAGCCCCUCCCUACUUCCUCUUACGGAGUGUGCAAA